rnacentral:rRNA from 1 species
GCCUACACAUGCAGUCGAGCGGUAGCACAGAGAGCUUGCUCUCGGGUGACGAGCGGCGGACGGGUGAGUAAUGUCUGGGAAACUGCCUGAUGGAGGGGGAUAACUACUGGAAACGGUAGCUAAUACCGCAUAACGUCGCAAGACCAAAGUGGGGGACCUUCGGGCCUCAUGCCAUCAGAUGUGCCCAGAUGGGAUUAGCUAGUAGGUGGGGUAACGGCUCACCUAGGCGACGAUCCCUAGCUGGUCUGAGAGGAUGACCAGCCACACUGGAACUGAGACACGGUCCAGACUCCUACGGGAGGCAGCAGUGGGGAAUAUUGCACAAUGGGCGCAAGCCUGAUGCAGCCAUGCCGCGUGUGUGAAGAAGGCCUUCGGGUUGUAAAGCACUUUCAGCGGGGAGGAAGGCGUUAAGGUUAAUAACCUUGGCGAUUGACGUUACCCGCAGAAGAAGCACCGGCUAACUCCGUGCCAGCAGCCGCGGUAAUACGGAGGGUGCAAGCGUUAAUCGGAAUUACUGGGCGUAAAGCGCACGCAGGCGGUCUGUCAAGUCGGAUGUGAAAUCCCCGGGCUCAACCUGGGAACUGCAUUCGAAACUGGCAGGCUAGAGUCUUGUAGAGGGGGGUAGAAUUCCAGGUGUAGCGGUGAAAUGCGUAGAGAUCUGGAGGAAUACCGGUGGCGAAGGCGGCCCCCUGGACAAAGACUGACGCUCAGGUGCGAAAGCGUGGGGAGCAAACAGGAUUAGAUACCCUGGUAGUCCACGCCGUAAACGAUGUCGAUUUGGAGGUUGUGCCCUUGAGGCGUGGCUUCCGGAGCUAACGCGUUAAAUCGACCGCCUGGGGAGUACGGCCGCAAGGUUAAAACUCAAAUGAAUUGACGGGGGCCCGCACAAGCGGUGGAGCAUGUGGUUUAAUUCGAUGCAACGCGAAGAACCUUACCUGGUCUUGACAUCCACAGAACUUUCCAGAGAUGGAUUGGUGCCUUCGGGAACUGUGAGACAGGUGCUGCAUGGCUGUCGUCAGCUCGUGUUGUGAAAUGUUGGGUUAAGUCCCGCAACGAGCGCAACCCUUAUCCUUUGUUGCCAGCGGUUCGGCCGGGAACUCAAAGGAGACUGCCAGUGAUAAACUGGAGGAAGGUGGGGAUGACGUCAAGUCAUCAUGGCCCUUACGACCAGGGCUACACACGUGCUACAAUGGCAUAUACAAAGAGAAGCGACCUCGCGAGAGCAAGCGGACCUCAUAAAGUAUGUCGUAGUCCGGAUUGGAGUCUGCAACUCGACUCCAUGAAGUCGGAAUCGCUAGUAAUCGUAGAUCAGAAUGCUACGGUGAAUACGUUCCCGGGCCUUGUACACACCGCCCGUCACACCAUGGGAGUGGGUUGCAAAAGAAGUAGGUAGCUUAACCUUCGGGAGGGCGCUACCACUUU